rnacentral:lncRNA from 1 species
GAUGUCUAACUCUCUCUCUUCUUCUCUUCUACUUCUUCUACUUUUCUCUUCAAAGUUCACUGUUGAAUUGCCUCGAUACCAAAAUUUGGUAUCAGAAUUGUGGGUGGAACUUUGGGUACUUCACUAGAUGUCUUCACUCUUCGAGUACACAGCUAACUUUUUCUCUUUUUGUUACUCAUCCUAUAUAUUUUCUUUACUUGCUCAAGCUACAUCUGUCUUUGCUUUUGCAUUUAUUUCAAAAAAAAAAAAUCUAAUUUUCUCAUUUUUAUGUGGAUUUCGAGUUCUGUGUGGUUCUUCUCUGCUCCUUCUCUGCUCCUUCUCUGCUCCGUGAAAAUUGCUAUCUAGGAUAAACGUAGUAAUGGAAAGAAAAGAACUUUGAUGCCACCAAUGUAUUUGACGAAAUUCCUCAGCGAAAGACCUUUAUGAUCAGCAAGUUUCGAUCGAAUCCAUAAUGCAAAUUUUGAUUUAAUUUAUUUAUGAUAUAAUGAGUCCUGCUUGGGAAGUUUCUGUUCUUGCAUGGAUGAGAUUUCCUCUCUAAAGUGGUGAAUUAAAAAAGUUUGAGAUUUAUUGAUUGGUGCAAUAAAGGUUUCAUAUUUUUGUGAAGUGAACCGUGUUCGUUGACAAUAGGUAUGCCCACAGCAAAUUACUGAAGGUCUCUAAGAAAUUAAUGAAGAAAUUGUACUGUACGUUGAGUUACUCUGUAUUUUGCUAUUAAAAUUGAUUGACAAUCUAAGUUUGUGCCUUUAUAUUUAAUAGUUUGCAUUUUAAUUGUUGUUAUGGGUUUAUGGAUCACUAGCUUCUCUUGCCAUCUCAAAGCCUCAUCUGUCCAACACUACUCAGGUCAUAACUUUCUCUUUCUAUUCAUGUAAAGUAUUCUUAUAAUGUAAAACAUUUUAAAAGUUAAAAUUAUGUGUCUAGAUUGUAGCUUAAAAUUGUGUUUUUAAUCAUUUUGAUAAGUUAAUAAUUUUAUUAGAAAUAGAAAGCACCAAGAAUAGGUGUAAAUAAUAACAAAACCACAAACGCAACACACUAUAAUGAACCCCACAAUCCACAUGAUCGGUCUUGAAACUGGAUUUAUUGGUUAAACGUUUCCAAUAUUGCAAACUAUGUAACAUGAAUGAUACCUAUUGUUUGUAUUAAGUACAUUGAUAUAAGAAUCGAUUUCGGUGUGUUUUGCAGUUCUCCUCGUCUUCUCUUGAUUAAUAUAUUUCAGCCUUCUCCUCUUUUUGAAGCCCAGAUUUGUUUCAUGAAUUCUAUCUACUUUUUAUUUUACAGUCAUGUGGCUUUGGCUCUUCGGUUAAUUGAUUCUGUACCUGCAUUUGAAUAAUAUGACCAAGAGUGAAAGUUAAGUUUCCAUUUCAUAGGCUUCAGAGAGGAUCAAUUAUGAUUGAGCAACUAAAUUCCCACGGCUUUGGGACUUUCGUUAAGGGAUUCUGCUCAUGCAUGUGCUCACUUGGCUAUUUCGUGUCAAAUUGGCAGUAACCAGUGCUGUCGUAUGGGGAACAACUAAGAUUUCCUGCUUGCUUUGGAUAUUGUAUUGGCAAUCUUGGCGUUUUCUCCUUCGUCCUACAUAACCCCUAACCCUGUAGGUAAAAAAUGAAUUUUUUGAAGGCUAUUAUAGCAUUUUCUUUGU